AUGCCAUGAUGAGGGCAUUUUUUAAUAGCUCCUUGUACCUUUCCCAAGCAUCAGGAAUUGCCUCAUCAUCCAUUUGUUUAAAAAGACAAAUUUCAUUUCUAGACUU